rnacentral:rRNA from 1 species
CCUACGGGUGGCAGCAGUGAGGAAUAUUGGUCAAUGGGCGAGAGCCUGAACCAGCCAAGUCGCGUGAGGGAGUACUUCCCUAUUGGUUGUAAACCUCUUUUGUCGGGGCGCAAAAGCCGGACGUGUCCGGCUGUGAGAGUACCCCAAGAACAAGCCUCGGCUAACUCCGUGCCAGCAGCCGCGGUAAUCCGGAGGAUGCGAGCGUUAUCCGGAUCUAUUGGGGUUAAAGGGUGCGCAGGCGGAUUUUUAAGUCAGCGGUCAAAUCGUGGGGCUCACCCCCAUCCAGCCGUUGAAACUGGGGAUCUAGAGUGUGCGAGAGGUAUGCGGAAUGCGUGGUGUAGCGGUGAAAGGCAUAGAUAUCACGCAGAACCCCGAUUGCGAAGGCAGCAUACCGGUGCACAACUGACGCUCAGGCACGAAAGCGUGGGUAUCGAACAGGAUUAGAUACCCUUGUAGUC